rnacentral:lncRNA from 1 species
CUGCCCUCUCUCCUUGCUCAGCGCUGUGCAAAAAUAAAGUUCCUACUUUCUUCCACCACCCCCAGUGUCAGAGAUUGGCUUGCUGCGCAGCGGGUGAGCGAAUUCACUUCAGGUUCGGUAACAAUUUGGCAACCCAGACGGGACAAUGUCCCAGGUGGACGUCUCGCCUGUGGCACACUGGCCUCUGGCUAAAGGCCUCUCUUGGAAGCUGUCCUGCAGCUGCCUGAGCCCCUUGUCUCAGGGACAGCCCCAAGCAGCUGGCUGCUAGCCAGACGUCGUUGGCCCACGGCGCUUUUGCUUUGUUGGUGGAAGAAACCAGGUUUAGGACUUAGGAAGACGUCUCUUGCAAGUAGCUGGUAGUUUUUGUCUUUGUCUUUGUGUUAACCUUUUCCAACAGGACCGGCUGGAAAUAAUGGGUACCUUGGCAGCCCUCUGGGCUCCAUUUGUUUUGAAGUCGCCGCGACGCCCUGGCCAAAUUUUGAGUUAAGAAAACCUUUUUCUCUAUUCUCUUAAAGAACAAUGACUUGCAGCAAUUUAUAAACAAAAUUGAAACAUUUGUCUUUUCCUCCCUAUUUGAGCCCCCCAAAACGCAAAAACUUCUGAUAAGACACAAUUGGAAACACUGGUUAUAUUACCAAGACUUUGACUGGAAUAUCAUAUUUAAAAAAAACAUACAGCCUUGGAUAUGACAAGACAGCUUUUGAGGAAUGAAGGUUGACAUUCUGGAAUAAAGCCACUUGGAAAUAUUGGCCUGAAAAACUUCUUAUUAAAUACCUGGUUACUUACAUGAUACAGGCCUAACUUCAGGAGCCCACCAGCAUCACCGCCUUAUUAAAAGACUGGUUCAAUGAGAUGAAACAACCUACGCCACAUUUCAGCAGGAAUUAGCUAGAUUGGUCACCACCCCAAAUCCCUCAAGAUUGAGGGACGGACAUAAAAUAGGGGGAAGUUGAUAUCGACCCUGAUAUCAGUUUCCCCACAUUAAACCCAGCAUAUAUGGGGUUAAAAGCAAAACACUCAUUCCCUGCUUACUCUCUGGCUUCCUGGCUCCAGAAUCCACUAUCCUCCAUGGAGACAGACACCGUCAAGGACAAGCACCUGGACCAUCUCCUCCCCACAAAGAGAUACAGACUGGUGGGAAAGCUGCUGACCACCAAGGUCAUGAACUCCCUCCUGUCUGCAAGUGUCUCAAGGCCAGAGACAGGCUGGUGGGAAAGCUCCGACCAGCAAGGCCAUAUGCUCCCCCUCUCCUACCUAAAGCCCCAAAUAGAAACCCUUCCUUUUAGCUUUUUCAGGGAGUUUGGGAUUUCAGCGUUAGCUGCCCUCUCUCCUUGCUCAGCGCUGUGCAAAAAUAAAGUUCCUACUUUCUUCCACC